GCCUCCGCGGUGGAUACGUCGCCAUCUUGGAUCCGCGGGACAAGAAAAUUCAUGCGAGGGAGACGUGGUGGGCGGUCCUUCCUGUGACACGACCCUUGAGUGACAGUUCUAUUUGAUUGCCUCCGGUACUGUGAGGAAAGGACACGACUCUAUGGUGAGGACUGAUGGACAUACAUUAUCUGAGAAAAGAAACUACCAGGUGACAAACAGCAUGUUUGGUGCUUCAAGAAAGAAGUUUGUAGAGGGGGUCGACAGUGACUACCAUGAUGAAAACAUGUACUACAGCCAGUCUUCUAUGUUUCCACAUCGGUCAGAAAAAGAUAUGCUGGCAUCACCAUCUACAUCAGGUCAGCUGUCUCAGUUUGGGGCAAGUUUAUACGGGCAACAAAAUGGAAGUGAAAAUGUGACAGGAUUGGACCUUUCAGAUUUCCCAGCAUUAGCAGACCGAAACAGAAGGGAAGGAAGUGGUAACCCAACUCCAUUAAUAAACCCCUUGGCUGGAAGAGCUCCUUAUGGUAAUUAAGCUUUUUAAUGAUGGCCUGUAGAAAGUUUCCAUGGUAUGUGCAUGCACACAUGCAUUUACAUGUACAUAUACAUAUGCUUGUGUGUUUACACAUGUAUGUUUGCAUUUUCUAAUCAGGUUAGUGUAAUUUUUUCAGAAUUGAUAUAUUAGAAGUGAUUUUUCUUCCCAGAAUACCAUGGUAUCAAAGUUAAAUGAGAAAAC
rnacentral:sRNA from 1 species